ensembl:lncRNA
CACCGACCAGGGCUCAAGCUACGGAUUGAUUAAGAAAGGACUUUUCCCUUAUAGACCUUGCACACAAAUUGUGUUGGUACGUCAGCCUUCACCUAUGGGAUGUAGUUGCACUUAGGAUAUUGUGUUCACGAACUGCUUUAAUGUUGGAAAAGGAGCGUCACCUAAAUGAUUUGGGAUCCAGAGUGAAGACCUUUAUGAUUUUUGAAAGAAAAACACUGCAGCCGCUGAAUGUCAAGGCUGUGAUUCAAGAGGAAAAAAUCUGACACGGAUACCACUGUAAUAAGUGUUACUUAAAUGCAGAAAAGAAAGUUGGGAAGGAAAAAUCCCGUGAAAAGAUGAACUCUGUGCAAGAGAUCCAGACUUUCCCAAGCAGGUGAGCAUGGCAGAAAAACUGUUGCUCUUCAGGGAAACAUUACGGACCCUUUUGAAAACACCUUUUUUGACCCAAGCUGUCAAUCACAGAUGUGAUCCUGACUCCAACAGAAUUUGAAACUUCAACUUGACCUCCAAGGAAAU